AGAACUCGAAACUCUAAACAAACUAGACACUAAGACCAGCAACUCGACACGACGAUGCAACCGAUAAUUCAAUAAUGCAAACAAUGAAAAGAAAAUUGCAAAGGCUCAGACUGGCUUGGACAAAAAGGAUGAAUAGAUCUAACUUUUUUGUGGCUUUUUCUUGGACAAUAGGUAAGAAAAUAAAUCUAAUCUAGGGGAAACUGGAAAUUCUCACCGAGCAACCUGAAAACUGAUACCACUUGAUAGAGGCGAGGGUGUCCCGAUCUUUCGAUGAGAUGAUAACUAUCGAUUCUUGCUUCAUCUAUAUUCGAGGGUGUCCCGAUCUUUUGACAAAUAUGCACUAGAGAUCACCGAGCAACCUGGCUCUGAUACCACUUGAUAGAGGCGAGGGUGUCCCGAUCUUUUGAUGAGAUGAUAACUAUCGAUUUGGUGGAGUCAAGUUUGACGAUCCGACUACAAACGUGCACGACGUUGCGCCUUAGCAAUCGCUAAACCAACUUUGAGAGGUUAUUGACCACGCCGGAGCAUGAUCAACCUGACCACGAAGGUCCAUCCCUGCACACAAUCGAAGAAC
rnacentral:lncRNA from 1 species